GAUGAACGCUGGCGGCGUGCCUAAUACAUGCAAGUCGAGCGAACAGACGAGGAGCUUGCUCCUCUGACGUUAGCGGCGGACGGGUGAGUAACACGUGGAUAACCUACCUAUAAGACUGGGAUAACUUCGGGAAACCGGAGCUAAUACCGGAUAAUAUAUUGAACCGCAUGGUUCAAUAGUGAAAGACGGUUUUGCUGUCACUUAUAGAUGGAUCCGCGCCGCAUUAGCUAGUUGGUAAGGUAACGGCUUACCAAGGCAACGAUGCGUAGCCGACCUGAGAGGGUGAUCGGCCACACUGGAACUGAGACACGGUCCAGACUCCUACGGGAGGCAGCAGUAGGGAAUCUUCCGCAAUGGGCGAAAGCUUGACGGAGCAACGCCGCGUGAGUGAAGAAGGUCUUCGGAUCGUAAAACUCUGUUAUUAGGGAAGAACAAAUGUGUAAGUAACUAUGCACGUCUUGACGGUACCUAAUCAGAAAGCCACGGCUAACUACGUG
rnacentral:rRNA from 1 species